GACCAGCCAUUACCAAAUAACCAAAGCGAAGCAGCCAAACAUCUGAAGAAAAUAGGGGGUCUGAUUUUGGUGUGGCUGACAAGCAAGCAAGCAAAGGAAGAGGUUUUUCCUCUCCAUAAAUUCGAUUCAAUAAUCGAAUUCCCUUUUAUCUUAAAAAAGGGUAAAUUUAAGAUGGCAGGAAGAAACCGCAUGCCCCGUGAAGCCAUGAAUGAUAGACGUGGCUAUGCUCUUGAAGCACCUUUUGUUCGGGGUCAUCCUUUACCGCGAGCACUUCCCCAUCCUGCACUUUUGGAAGAAGAACUUGAGAUGCAGCACGCUGAGAUCCAGAGGUUGUUGAGUGAUAACCGGAGGCUUGUUGAAGAUCGCAUUGCUUUGCAGCGUGAGCUUGGUGCUGCAAAGGAGGAACUUCACCGUAUGAAUAUUGUCAUCGCAGAUAUCCGAGCAGAAGAAGAAUUGCGAUCAAGGGAGCUUUUUGAGAAAGGCAGGAAGUUGGAGGCUGAUCUUCGUGCAACCGAGCCAUUGAAAAAUGAGGCUAUACAACUUCGUGGAGAAGUUAAGAAGCUAAACAACCUCAGGCAGGAGCUUUCUGCACAAGUUCAGACUCUUACACAAGAACUUACCAGAUUGCAAGCUGAUAAUCAACAGAUUCCUCAUAUAAGGGCAGAAAUUGAGGGUCUCCACCAGGAGCUUAUGCAUGCUAGAACAGCAGUUGAUUAUGAAAAGAAAGCAAACAUUGAGCAAAUGGAGCAGAGACAGGCAAUGGAGAAAAACCUAGUUUCUAUGGCCCGUGAAGUUGAGAAACUACGUGCAGAACUUGCUAGUAUUGAUGGUAGACCAUGGGCUGCUGGUGGAUCAUAUGGGAUGAAAUUCAGCAGUGCAGAUGGGGGCUUUCCUGCAUCAUAUGGAGAUGGAUAUGGGGUUCAUUUGGGUGUUGCUGACAAAGGACCUUUGUAUGGUCCUGGUCCAAAUUCAUGGGGAGGACUGGAGAAGCCUCGUAUGACGCGUCGUUAAGAUCUUGAUGAUUGUUGCUCAGAUUGAGACAGUUUGGUUGCUUCAACUUCAAGCAUAACUGCGCGACAAGUGCUAGGUUCAUCUAUGUGUGCAUGCCACGUAUUAUCUGAGUACAUUGCAACCCUAUGAUGGAUGGGAAAAUUAUUUUGCCUGGUUGUGGUAAUCGAUGGAUAAAUUGAUCCAUGGAGCCUCUUUUAUGGGAUUAUACUUCUCCAAAAGUAAAAUCUUGAUCUUAUACUCUUCUAGCAUGUCAAGCAAUCUAGCAAAGAUGAACAACCCACUUUGCCAUUUCCUUUACCUUCUGAAGCUAUAGUCGAUAUCUUCGGCUGAAAAAGUUACUUUUUCCUCUUAUCAUAAAAUUGGCUAAUUUCAAUUUUAUAGCCAGUGGCGUUGGAACUCUCAACUCAUCAACAUUUUUGACUUUA